UGGGGAAUUUUGGACAAUGGGGGAAACCCUGAUCCAGCCAUCCCGCGUGUGCGAUGAAGGCCUUCGGGUUGUAAAGCACUUUUGGCAGGAAAGAAACGUCGCGGGUUAAUACCCCGCGAAACUGGCGGUACCUGCAGAAUAAGCACCGGCUAACUACGUGCCAGCAGCCGCGGUAAUACGUAGGGUGCAAGCGUUAAUCGGAAUUACUGGGCGUAAAGCGUGCGCAGGCGGUUCGGAAAGAAAGAUGUGAAAUCCCAGAGCUUAACUUUGGAACUGCAUUUUUAACUACCGGGCUAGAGUGUGUCAGAGGGAGGUGGAAUUCCGCGUGUAGCAGUGAAAUGCGUAGAUAUGCGGAGGAACACCGAUGGCGAAGGCAGCCUCCUGGGAUAACACUGACGCUCAUGCACGAAAGCGUGGGGAGCAAACAGGAUUAGAUACCCUGGUAGUCCACGCCCUAAACGAUGUCAACUAGCUGUUGGGGCCUUCGGGCCUUGGUAGCGCAGCUAACGCGUGAAGUUGACCGCCUGGGGAGUACGGUCGCAAGAUU
rnacentral:rRNA from 1 species